rnacentral:ncRNA from 1 species
AUUUAACCUGUGAAAAAGAGAGUAGUCGUUUGAAGGCCUGCAGAGAGCUGGGGAUGGUGGGAGCCCGGUGGUAAAAAAGCGAUGAACCGGACUUUUGAGGUAUAGCUCUGAAAGAAAGUACGGGCUAUCGGGACUUGCCGUUAUCAAGUACAUAAGCUGACCUUUCUUUUUCUGAAAGGUAAUGAGAGUGGCACCGCGGAAACGAUACCCGUCUCUCCU